UUAUUUGAGAGUUUGAUCCUGGCUCAGGAUGAACGCUGGCGGCGUGCCUAACACAUGCAAGUUGAGCGAUUUACUGUAAAGAGCGGCGGACGGGUGAGUAACGCGUGGGUAACCUACCCUGUACACACGGAUAACAUACCGAAAGGUAUGCUAAUACGGGAUAAUAUAUUUGAGAGGCAUCUCUUGAAUAUCAAAGGUGGGCCAGUACAGGAUGGACCCGCGUCUGAUUAGCUAGUUGGUAAGGUAACGGCUUACCAAGGCGACGAUCAGUAGCCGACCUGAGAGGGUGAUCGGCCACAUUGGAACUGAGACACGGUCCAAACUCCU
rnacentral:rRNA from 1 species